AGAACGAACGCUGGCGGCAGGCCUAACACAUGCAAGUCGAACGCCGUAGCAAUACGGAGUGGCAGACGGGUGAGUAACACGUGGGAACAUACCCUUCGGUUCGGAAUAACUCAGGGAAACUUGAGCUAAUACCGGAUACGUCCGCGAGGAGAAAGAUUCAUCGCCGGAGGAUUGGCCCGCGUCUGAUUAGCUUGUUGGUGAGGUAAUGGCUCACCAAGGCGACGAUCAGUAGCUGGUCUGAGAGGAUGAUCAGCCACAUUGGGACUGAGACACGGCCCAAACUCCUACGGGAGGCAGCAGUGGGGAAUAUUGGACAAUGGGCGAAAGCCUGAUCCAGCCAUGCCGCGUGAGUGAUGAAGGCCUUAGGGUUGUAAAGCUCUUUUACUCGGGAAGAUAAUGACGGUACCGAGAGAAUAAGCCCGGCUAACUUCGUGCCAGCAGCCGC
rnacentral:rRNA from 1 species